UACGGAGGGAGCAAGCGUUACUCGGAAUUAUUGGGCGUAAAGGGCGCGUAGGCGAUUUGAAAAAGUCUUGUGUGAAAGCCCCGAGCUUAACUCGGGAAGUGCACAAGAAACUGUUGAAUUUGAGUUCCGGAGAGGAAGGCAGAAUUCCCGGUGUAGCGGUGAAAUGCGUAGAUAUCGGGAAGAACACCUAUGGCGAAGGCAGCUCUCUGGGACGGUACUGACGCUGAGACGCGAAAGCGUGGGGAGCGAACAGG
rnacentral:rRNA from 1 species